CCUACGGGUGGCAGCAGUGAGGAAUAUUGGUCAAUGGGCGUAAGCCUGAACCAGCCAAGUCGCGUGAGGGAUGAAGGUUCUAUGGAUCGUAAACCUCUUUUAUAAGGGAGUAAAGUGCGGCACGUGUCCCGUUUUGUAUGUACCUUAUGAAUAAGGAUCGGCUAACUCCGUGCCAGCAGCCGCGGUAAUACGGAGGGGUCGAGCGUUAUCCGGAUUUAGUGGGUUUAAAGGGUGCGUAGGCGGCCUUUUAAGUCAGCGGUGAAAGUCUGUGGCUCAACCAUAGAAUUGCCGUUGAAACGGGGAGGCUUGGGUAUGUUUAAGGCAGGCGGAAG
rnacentral:rRNA from 1 species